rnacentral:lncRNA from 1 species
UAAUUAUUAAACACUAAAAAAAAUCUGUGACCCCAGUGAUUGUUGCACCAUAUAGUGAACCGAAUUUUGAACAAAAACAAAAAUAUUCCGUCAACUAAAAAAAAAUAGCCCAUUUCAUACAGAAAUUAAUUGAAGUAGCAUUAAGAAAUUAAACUAAAUAUACCUUGCAAAUAGUCACCAAGUCCAUCUCUUUACAAUUUAAUUCAGGAAAACAGAACUUGGUCUUUUCUUAUCAACACUCCCUCUGAUCAGAAAAUUAAAAUGAUUGAUCAUCAAAACUACAUCAAAUUAGCUUAAUUUAUUCUAAAAAUAAAAAAUAAAAAAAAUAAAAAAGUCGUCCAGUUAUAUAUUCGUGCAUGCAUGUGUGUCUGAGCAGUGAAAGAUAGAUUGAUCGGAUACCUCACGGUGAUUCCUACUCUCUCCUUCUCGGUGGUCUGUUGAAUUUUUGUGACCCAACCCUGCGGAAGAUGAAGCUGCCAACUCCCGGACGUGUCGUCAGUUUAUUAAUUCCGGUGUACGGCCGCCAACGCGCCCGGGUUUUGAUCUGUCUUCCCACUGUUCAGUGUUCCUUGGGUGGGACACUCAGUGGGUGACGUGAAGCGGUGAAGGUCUCGGUGAUGGCAUAAAAAUGUUGUACAUGGAAGGCUAUUUGGUCCGUUGAUUUGAGAGAAUUUGAUUUAUAUGAUUGUAUCACUAAUGUUUGGCAAAGCAAAAUUCCCUUAAUUCAGCCAAACAUUGCGAAAAAUCCUUAGAAUUAC